rnacentral:lncRNA from 1 species
CACCCUUAGCCAUGGAAAAGCCAGCUGUCUGGUCCCUGUAGGCCUGCACCUUGCAAGGAUAAAGGUUGGGGUCAGAAGAUCCUGAAGUACAGGGAACCCAUCGCAGAUGCUUCGCCAUCCUGGGCGCGUCUCUCUGGAGAUGCUGUCUCAGCCCUGGGGCUGCCUAGAUGCAAGCGACUGCAUGGAGGAGGAGGAGGAGGAGGAGGAGGAGCAUAGAGAAUCCACAAGGUCGGUUGGAGGCUACAGCAGCCAUCCUGAGAUGAGAGAGAUAUGGGUAUGGGGGGGACUAACCUUGGAAUUUUUUGGGUCCACAGAGUACUUGCUGGUGGACAUGCCAGAUCCACCCAAGGUACCUCACAGGUUUUUUUUUUGCUUGAACAACGAGGUGGGUGGAGGUAGUAAUUACUAAGGUAAGGGAGCUGGAGAGGUCUGUGUUAGCCAAAUUAACCUGUCAGAUAUGUCCAAGAAGGCGUGUUCAAAGGCCAGACGGACCAAUAAGAUUGAAGUGCAUGAAUUUGAAACUGUUUCAAGAGGACGGACCCUAUUGCCUGGGGCGCAACUUUCUAUGCAUCCUGUUUAUGGGUUCUGCGUAUGCUUCUGUUUUCUCCCUUCCACACAGUUCAUUUUGUGCUCCCUGAUCGCCGGGAUUAAGGUAGCAAAUAAAGGCUGUGAGACACGGUCCUGCCCUCAGAGAAUUAUCAAUACAGCCAUGGGGCUAUUGCAGAACACAACACACGUGAGCUGGUUAGAAUACAAAGAGCGAGAGAGUGCCUGAGAAGGCUUCCCAAAGGAGUUGACACCUCAAAGGCACCAUAUCUGGGGAAUAUUGGGUGUGGGACUUUUUUUCGAGAAGCCAAGAAGGGAAGACAAGGAAGGUGGUACGAUGGGUGUCUACGUUCAUGCCUUGCCCCUUAAGGAAGCAGCAUUAGAAAGGUCCUUCCUGGGGUUAGACAAUUCAGACACUUGCAAGCCAGGGAGCUUCCUCCCCAGCCUCCUGGCUGAUGGUCCCGCGGGCCCAGAACCUCUCCCUGGUAAUUGCUUUCCAUAAUGUGUUUGCUCCAAACCAAUUUCACGCCUCCGUGAGGACUCCGCCCUGCACUGGAGGCGCGGACCUCCCUACUACCAACCUACGCGCCUGUGAACGGGUGGGCUCACACAUACCACACUCAUUCAACACAACUAAUACACCGAGUUUGAUAAUCCUGUCACAAUAAAGUUGCACAUGCCUACAUGCAUGCACACUAGACUUCAAGACAUUCCUGUACAAUCCCCACGCCGAACCUCUCACAGUGGAGUAAGAAGCACUCUGAAGCUUGGACCUCUUGCCUGAUUCCAGUUCCUCGGCCCUUGGCACCUCUCCCGACUAACGCCAGGGGGAGCUGCGGCACUCCAUGCCUCCCUCGCGUAACUGUAGUUGCGUUCUAGUGCCACCAGAGGGUACCCGCGGACAGAAGCCGAAGAGGCCCACAGUGGGAGGAUACUCCAGCCUGAAUCAGAGACGUGGACCUGUUGGCUUUAGAACACUUUGCUCAUUCUUUGUGGCUAGGUGUAACUGCCAGCACAUGAAGGAGAGACCAGAAGAUGAGGCCUGACAUAGGACCAAGCAAAAAGGGGUGGAACCAUCACUCUAUCUCCCUGGCUCCAUUUUAGGAAAGACCGGGUACUAGAUAUUCAGGGAUUCGGUAACAAAGUAACAAGAUUUCUGCUUCUUCAGAUGUGAUGGGUUUGAGGGUAAUGGCAUCUGUCCUUGGUCCUAAAGUGCUGCUGACAGGGAGGUGGGUCCCUUCUGAUUGGGCAGGUAUUCCCUUCCUUUGUUCCCUGCAGUAGAAUUCAUUUAGAAGGAGGCAGCCUCUUAUUCACGAAAGCCUUACUCCUUAAUUAGUCAGAGUAGAUAAUAUGCUUCCUCUCUCAAACACAGAGGAGUCAAACAGAGGCCAUGGCCGUGCGGCUCGGCUCAGAGAGGACCAGGACUUCUUCGAACUCUUUUUUAAUCCCAACAAUACCCCCCCCCUCCAUUUACAGUGAGGUCUGAGUUUCACCACAAAUGAAAGGGCAGGGAAAGUGGGCUGCAGCAGUCACCCUCCCCUCCCCCACCCCCAACACAUGAUACUAGCUACUGAAUAUCAAAGACGGAAACAAGCAUGCUUAUGACCCCAGAAGUGCAAGGGGUGGAUUGAAGAUAUAAAUGGGUUACAGAACUCAGUAUCUGUCACACACGUGUGAGUGGGUUGCAUGCUGGGAUUUAUUGGUACCAAAAUAUAGCCCCCCCCCCACCUCUUUGCCAGCUUGAGCAGAGCCUACUGCUCUGAGGAUUAGUGCUAGACAUACACUCUUGGCUUGAAGUCGAUGACAUACAUUUUUGAGAUCAGAAGGGCUUUACCCUUGAGACCCUGAGAGUGCACGAUCCAUUCUGUGCCGCAGAGAAUGGUAGACGUGUUUAAGUGUGUGUGUACUACCAGUACUUUAGGACAGAGAUAUUUCAACAUAUAUCCUUUUGAGCUUUUGAAAUUUUGUUCCAAGUGAUGUUAUUACCUAUGCAAAAAAUGAAUGCAAUUACUUUUAAAAAUG